rnacentral:rRNA from 1 species
UACGUAGGGUGCGAGCGUUAAUCGGAAUUACUGGGCGUAAAGCGUGCGCAGGCGGUUCGUUGUGUCGGUGGUGAAAUCCCCGGGCUUAACCUGGGAAUGGCCUGGAAACUGGCGAACUGGAGUGCGGCAGAGGGGGGUGGAAUUCCGCGUGUAGCAGUGAAAUGCGUAGAGAUGCGGAGGAACACCGAUGGCGAAGGCAGCCCCCCUGGGCUAGCACUGACGCUCAGGCACGAAAGCGUGGGGGAGCAAACAGG